rnacentral:rRNA from 1 species
CCUACGGGAGGCAGCAGUAGGGAAUCUUUCACAAUGGGCGAAAGCCUGAUGGAGCAACGCCGCGUGCAGGAUGAAGGCCUUCGGGUUGUAAACUGCUUUUAUAAGCGAGAAAGAUGAUGGUAACUUAUGAAUAAGGAGCGGCUAACUACGUGCCAGCAGCCGCGGUCAUACGUAGGAUCCGAGCAUUAUCCGGAGUGACUGGGUGUAAAGAGUUGCGUAGGUGGCAUAAUCAUUAGCUAGUGAAAUCUGGUGGCUCAACCAUUCAGACUAUUAGCUAAACUGUUAAGCUCGAGACCGUUAGGGGUAACUGGAAUUUCUAGUGUAGGCGUGAAAUCCGUAGAUAUUAGCAGGAACACCAAUCGCGUAGGCAGGUUGCUGGGACGGUUCUGACACUCAGGCACGAAAGCGUCGGGAGCAAACGGGAUUAGAUACCCCUGUAGUC